rnacentral:rRNA from 1 species
UACGUAGGUGGCAAGCGUUUGUCCGGAUUUAUUGGGCGUAAAGCGCGCGCAGGCGGUUCAAAAAGUCCAUGGGUGAAAGCGCCCGGCUCAACUGGGCGAGUGCCGUGGGGAUGUCGAGCUGGAGGGAAGCAGAGGCGAGUGGAAUUCCGGGUGUAGUGGUGAAAAUGCGCAGAUAUCAGGAAGAACACCCGUGGCUAAGGCGGCUCUUCUAGUACGGU